UGUUAAAAUAUGCGUAUCUACGCGUAAGGCGGAAGGGCUGAAGAGGGAGACAGGUCAUAAAGAUCGUCUAUAUAUACAUUUGCUGUGAAAUCGCCAAAAUGAAGGACGCACGGAUCUCGUUGGCCGAAAUAUGCUACGACGCAAUAGCAUUGUUUUGCAUGAUCGAGCCAAGCGCGUAAAUGUAUGCAUUAUGUUACUGGAAUAGCCGCGAGAUUUCGUGAAGCAACGGUCGAGGACAACAUUUCAUUUGAGGAUGAUACAAAGUCCGGGACACACACAAAAAAAAAGGAUUAGAUAAAGCCGGCAGUUCGAGCCUUUCCGAAAUACUCAGGUAACCGUCGGUGUAAAGGCCGAGAGGUGGGGAGGGCCGAUAAGCGAAAACAAAGAAUGGCACGUCCGGAAGGUCCCGACUGUGUCAAAACACCAGUCAGUCGUGCCGGAGUCGUCAACAGGAGUGUAUCCACGGUUGUACGUUAACAAUACCAGUGUUUUAUUUAACGUGUUCGCGCCGGCGUGUACCAACGGUAACCAUAGCCUUUCUCAUCGGACAAUGAGAGCCACCAAAUAUGCAUUUGUUUAUUGCUACGGUACUGGACUUGGAGGACGCGUUCGACAAAAUGGCCCGAGAAACAGCAAAUUCCAUCCCCGAAUCUGCUAAUCGACUAUCGAGUAAUUAAAUCUGGCGACUCGUCUCGACGAACGGACUUUGGACCGCAGAAUUGUCCGGCUGUUUUCCAAGUACACACUCGACGAAGCCCUCCUUUAUUCGCCGAUGAAUUUAGAAAAUCGAAAGCGGAGAGCCGACUUUCGCGGUAGUAAUUCGAUAUGAUAGAAUUAGGAAUAAAGGAAAGCGCAUAGGUAUUCAGGAGCGUGUAAACUGCAGCGCGGGUGUGUUCGCGUUUGUUCGUUCGUUCAUUCGGUUCGUUCGUUCUCGCGGGAUAGGUUUUCGCGAAUAAUUAUGCGGUCGAUAUCUCGGUCAACGUGUUAAUUGUCUGAUUCCAGAAGGAAUGCGGCUCCAUUUUGAGCGCGGCUCGCUUGAUUGGUCGGAACAAGCGGCAAGUUUCGGCCAAUAAAACCCGCGCUAGAAAACGAGUCUCGCCGCGUUACGCCCGAUUUGUGUCGCUGCUCGCACUCGUUAUCAGGCAUUACUUCAUAUCCUGUGAACUUGCUAUCCGGGACGCUUAUCAGCCCGCGGUACAAUUUAUGCGAGAAUCCCUUCCAUCGCGUUCGCUUAACCGGAACCUUUCGAUUCGCGUUGUCAGCGAACAACGUUUCGCCUCGCGGCGAAAUCCCAUUCUUUCAAGAAGAUCGAAUCGAGAACCGAUCGAACGAUUUUUCGGCGGCUAUAGAUCGUUCCGACGUUUCUUGUGCGACGAUUUAUUUCACGGCUGCGACGAUUAGUGCUGAGAGAAAUCACCUUUAUCGCUGAGAAAUUCUUGCGCGAGACGGAACAUUCAUAUUUAUUAUAUUUAUUUUGCGUCCGUUUCGAUUGCAAUUCGAUAAAAUAUCGAUAACAGAAAAAUUCGAUCUUGUGCAGAUUAUGUUUGCAGAUGUUCGCAGAUCAUGCUCGUAAUCCUCGUGACAGCGAGUCGCGUUGUUAUGGUGCAAGGGUCGAGGGUGUUCCUGUGUAAAAUUGGCAAUUUUAAUCUAUCGAAAAUAAUGUAACAGUGUUUUCUUAAAUUCUUCCAAUUCUGUAUUUCUCUGAUCAAUUUCUGCAACAACGGCGUUAAAUCCGCUGCGAUUUUGCAAAUUGGUUGAAAUUUUCCAUGUUCUUAAUUAUGCAUCGAAUCGAAUAUAAUAUUAUUAAAUUCUCGGUGUUCGUAUCUUCGACGUUAUUGAGCGACCAAUUGAUUUUGACGUAUAAUAUAUUGGAUUUCAUAUUAUGUUUUUAAUAAAGGCAUUGAAGUAAUUAAUAAUAUGAUUA